rnacentral:rRNA from 1 species
GACGAACGCUGGCGGCGUGCUUAACACAUGCAAGUCGAACGGUGAAGCGCCUUCCUUUUUGGUGGGUGUGGAUGAGUGGCGAACGGGUGAGUAACACGUGAGUAACCUGCCCCCUUCUUCUGGAUAACCGCAUGAAAGUGUGGCUAAUACGGGAUAUUCUGGGUCUGUCGCAUGAUGGGUCUGGGAAAGAUAUUGUUUCGGUGGGGGAUGGGCUCGCGGCCUAUCAGCUUGUUGGUGGGGUGAUGGCCUACCAAGGCGGUGACGGGUAGCCGGCCUGAGAGGGUGGACGGUCACACUGGGACUGAGACACGGCCCAGACUCGUACGGGAGGCAGCAGUGGGGAAUAUUGCACAAUGGGCGCGAGCCUGAUGCAGCGACGCCGCGUGAGGGAUGGAGGCCUUCGGGUUGUGAACCUCUUUCGCCAGUGAAGCAGGCCUGCCUCGUUUGUGGGUGGGUUGACGGUAGCUGGAUAAGAAGCGCCGGCUAACUACGUG